rnacentral:rRNA from 1 species
AGAGCGAACGCUGGCGGCAGGCUUAACACAUGCAAGUCGAACGGACCCUUCGGGGUUAGUGGCGGACGGGUGAGUAACACGUGGGAACGUGCCUUUUGGUUCGGAACAACACAGGGAAACUUGUGCUAAUACCGGAUGUGCCCUUCGGGGGAAAGAUUUAUCGCCAUUAGAGCGGCCCGCGUCUGAUUAGCUAGUUGGUGGGGUAAAGGCCUACCAAGGCUACGAUCAGUAGCUGGUCUGAGAGGAUGACCAGCCACAUUGGGACUGAGACACGGCCCAAACUCCUACGGGAGGCAGCAGUGGGGAAUCUUGCGCAAUGGGCGAAAGCCUGACGCAGCCAUGCCGCGUGAAUGAUGAAGGUCUUAGGAUUGUAAACCACUGUCGCGAGGGACGAAAAAAUGACGGUACCUCGAAAGGAAGCACCGGCUAACUCUGCGCCAGCAGCCGC